rnacentral:tRNA from 1 species
UCCCUGGUGGUCCAAAGGUUAAAACUCAGCACUGUUAUUGCCAGGGCCUAGGUUUGAUCCCUGGUCAGGGAA